GCACUCUGUGGAGACAAAAAUCAACACAAUCCAUCCACCAAAUCCUGUGCAAACCAACAACUAAACAAAAGAAGGUGCCGUUUUUAUAGACCAACUCCUAUGAAAACAGUGUUUAUUGGUGUUGUGAGCAGGACCUUGUGUCAUAAAUAUAAACAAAAACUACGCUUAAAACUGCAUUUCUGAGUAUUUCUAGCUUCAGAUUGUUGUGAAUUGGGAGCAAACGAAAAAAACGCUGUUGGUUUUUUUGUGACGUAGAAAUUACGCUUUAUUAAACAGAACCUAAAAUAACAAAAUUCCCAUAAACCCUUCUUACAUGCUGGGUCAGUCUGUUGGAAUAAACCAGUGUCGAGUAAAUAUCCAUUAACAAAAACCUUCAAGUACUUUUUAACUGCACCACCUAACAAAUAGUCCACUUUUUGUGAACAAAGAGCGAUCUAAACUGAAAAAACAAAUGACCAUACUGUAAGCUGUAAGCGGAAUAACGGCUGCAUCAUCAGAAAUCAACGCACGCCGUGGGAGCCUGAACCAUCCCACGUGAUGAAUCCGUGUCUGAAUUGUUUUAAAGAUGCAGGGUACUAGAUCGUCCCGCAGUGUGUCGUUUUUUAGGAGUUAGGGCGGGAAUUCUGACACAACCUAAGCCCAUCCUCAGCUCGUGACCCUUGAACUCGUGUGGAAGAUUGAUGCCAACCCUUUUCUGCCUAAAUUGAGGGAUGACUGGUCUAAAUUGCCCUCUUCUGGGAUCAAAAUGUGCAUGACCAGUCAAGGACUUGAGCGGGUAGAACAAACAACUGCUGUAGCCCUGAAGAGUUUAAUCUAAUCGGACUCAUGAGUGGAGGAGCUGCUGGCCUCGACUCCACCAAAACACAGAGUGUGUGAACAACUACUGUGUGCGAAGGACGACACUUACUGCUCAUCCCUUCAUGACCUCAGCAUUUGCACUACCCCCACCCCCACCCCGUCUGUGCAUUGUCUGGAAGAUGUGGAAGAGGUGGGGGACCUAUUGAGAACUGUUAUGUUGGCUGCGUGUGUGCUUCUGUGUUUGAAUGGCAUCUACAUAUUGUAGAUAAGCAGUGUUGAGAUACGACUUUUUUUUUUACGUCACUAUGCCCCCCUCCCGGUAUUGUAAUCCAUCUACAGCCACGCUAAACAAGCCCCGCCCACCACAGCUGCACCUCAGCCAUGGUAAGCCUCUUUGGAUCAUGUUGUCAUGAUUGUUUCCAAACCUGAGUACAGUGUGAAUCACUCAAUACUUUUAUUUACUUAAAUAAAUAUUUGAAUGAAUUUGUAAUUAUUGCUUCACAGCUAAACAAGCUGGACUUUACAUUCAUACAAAAGAAACUGAGGAUCCUCCUGAUGAACAUCAAGAGGUCAAACAUGAAUCUUUCAGCAGCAGAGACAGAAACACACAAAGGACGGGCUUCUCUUUGGACAGCUUCUUGGCCACCUUCUUAGCCAGCUCCAGUGUUUCUGCCUCGCACGGCGAGGACGGGGACGCCAUCUUGGCCAGUUCGGCCAGCAGGACGGGA